rnacentral:other from 1 species
AACAAGCUGCAUUGUACGUAAUCAUACUAAAGUUUUAACCUUUAAGCUGAAAUAGGGAGUUUAACAUCGGAACAGGAAUGACAAGCCUCUGUCUAUAAGACAAGGAGGACAGGCAGGAAUGUUUCUGCGAACACCCAUUUUUGAGGAGUGGUGGUUUAAAACUUUCUUAUCACAGUUACGGCAAAAGCGGCUACAUA